rnacentral:rRNA from 1 species
UGUCGUCAGCUCGUGUUGUGAAAUGUUGGGUUAAGUCCCGCAACGAGCGCAACCCUUAUCCUUUGUUGCCAGCGGUCCGGCCGGGAACUCAAAGGAGACUGCCAGUGAUAAACUGGAGGAAGGUGGGGAUGACGUCAAGUCAUCAUGGCCCUUACGACCAGGGCUACACACGUGCUACAAUGGCGCAUACAAAGAGAAGCGACCUCGCGAGAGCAAGCGGACCUCAUAAAGUGCGUCGUAGUCCGGAUUGGAGUCUGCAACUCGACUCCAUGAAGUCGGAAUCGCUAGUAAUCGUGGAUCAGAAUGCCACGGUGAAUACGUUCCCGGGCCUUGUACACACCGCCCGUCACACCAUGGGAGUGG